GAUGAACGCUGGCGGCGUGCCUAAUACAUGCAAGUCGAGCGAACAGACGAGGAGCUUGCUCCUCUGACGUUAGCGGCGGACGGGUGAGUAACACGUGGAUAACCUACCUAUAAGACUGGGAUAACUUCGGGAAACCGGAGCUAAUACCGGAUAAUAUAUUGAACCGCAUGGUUCAAUAGUGAAAGACGGUUUUGCUGUCACUUAUAGAUGGAUCCGCGCCGCAUUAGCUAGUUGGUAAGGUAACGGCUUACCAAGGCAACGAUGCGUAGCCGACCUGAGAGGGUGAUCGGCCACACUGGAACUGAGACACGGUCCAGACUCCUACGGGAGGCAGCAGUAGGGAAUCUUCGGCAAUGGGCGAAAGCCUGACGGAGCCACGCCGCGUGAGUGAUGAAGGUCUUCGGAUCGUAAAACUCUGUUAUUAGGGAAGAACAAAUGUGUAAGUAACUAUGCACGUCUUGACGGUACCUAAACAGAAAGCCACGGCUAACUACGUG
rnacentral:rRNA from 1 species